rnacentral:rRNA from 1 species
AUUGAACGCUGGCGGCAGGCCUAACACAUGCAAGUCGAGCGGAUGAAGGGAGCUUGCUCCUGGAUUCAGCGGCGGACGGGUGAGUAAUGCCUAGGAAUCUGCCUGGUAGUGGGGGAUAACGUCCGGAAACGGGCGCUAAUACCGCAUACGUCCUGAGGGAGAAAGUGGGGGAUCUUCGGACCUCACGCUAUCAGAUGAGCCUAGGUCGGAUUAGCUAGUUGGUGGGGUAAAGGCCUACCCAGGCGACGAUCCGUAACUGGUCUGAGAGGAUGAUCAGUCACACGGGAACUGAGACACGGUCCAGACUACUACGGGAGGCAGCAGUGGGGAAUAUUGGACAAUGGUCGAAAGCCUGAUCCAGCCAUGCCGCGUGUGUGAAGAAGGUCUUCGGAUUGUAAAGCACUCUAAGUUGGGAGGAAGGGCAGUAAGUUAAUACCUUGCUGUUUUGACGUUACCAACAGAAUAAGCACCGGCUAACUUCGUG